rnacentral:rRNA from 1 species
GACGAACGCUGGCGGCGUGCUUAACACAUGCAAGUCGAACGCUGAAGCUCAGCUUGCUGGGUGGAUGAGUGGCGAACGGGUGAGUAACACGUGAGUAACCUGCCCUCUUCUUUGGGAUAACGCCCGGAAACGGGUGCUAAUACUGGAUAUUCACUGAUUCUCGCAUGGGGGUUGGUGGAAAGGUUUUUUCUGGUGGGGGAUGGGCUCGCGGCCUAUCAGCUUGUUGGUGGGGUGAUGGCCUACCAAGGCUUUGACGGGUAGCCGGCCUGAGAGGAUGACCGGUCACAUUGAGACUGAGAUACGGCCCAGACUCCUACGGGAGGCAGCAGUGGGGGAUAUUGCACAAUGGGCGAAAGCCUGAUGCAGCGACGCCGCGUGAGGGAUGGAGGCCGUCGGGUUGUAAACCUCUUUCGCUCAUGGUCAAGCCGCAGCUUUGGGUUGUGGUGAGGGUAGUGGGUAAAGAAGCGCCGGCUAACUACGUG